rnacentral:rRNA from 1 species
AGCAGCCGCGGUAAUUCCAGCUCCAAUAGCGUAUAUUAAAGUUGUUGCAGUUAAAAAGCUCGUAGUUGAAUUUCGGGGUCAAUAAGUUGGUCAUGCCAAUGGUAUGCACUGGCCUUAUUGAUUCCUACCUCUUGACGAACUGUGAUGCCAUUAAUUUGGUGUUGCAAGGAAUCAGGACUGUUACCUUGAAAAAUUAGAGUGUUUAAAGCAAGCUUACGCUUGAAUACAUUAGCAUGGAAUAAUGAAAUAGGACGUUUGAUCCUAUUUUGUUGGUUUCUAGGAUCGACGUAAUGAUUAAUAGGGAUAGUUGGGGGCAUUAGUAUUCAAUUGUCAGAGGUGAAAUUCUUGGAUUUAUUGAAGACUAACUACUGCGAAAGCAUUUG